CAUGCAGUGCUUAAAUGAUAAAAUCAAUGCAUUACUAUAUUUGCUAGGCGUGUAGUGCCUAAAUGAUAAAAAUGAAUGCAUUAUGAUAUGUGCGUGCAGUGCUUAAAUGCAUAGAAAUAUGCACCGAUAAAGGCAAAAAUGACAUGUGGUGCUUAAAUGAUAAAAUAAAUGUAUUGCGAUAUGUGUCAGGUAAAGGCCAAA
rnacentral:lncRNA from 1 species